GGAAAACAAGGAUGUAUUUUCAAACAAAUUGAGUGAUUAUGGUGGAGCAUACGGUGGCGGAUAUGGUUACGGCAAAAAAGAGAUAAAUGAAAACAAAGAUAAAAGUGAAGGUGGAUAUGGCGGAUAUGGUUACGGAAAAAGAGAAACCGAACAAGAUGGGGGAUACGGGGGCGGAUACGGAGGUGGAUACAGUGGAGGAUAUGGUUACGGAAAAAAAGAGAUAAAUGAAGUAGCUGACCCUAGAGGACGUGGUAACAGAAGUGGUGGAGGAGGAGGUGGUGGUGGCGGUGGAGGUAGCAGAAGUGG